GACGAACGCUGGCGGCGUGCCUAAUACAUGCAAGUCGAGCGAAGUUUUUCUGGUGCUUGCACUAGAAAAACUUAGCGGCGAACGGGUGAGUAACACGUAAAGAACCUGCCUCAUAGACUGGGACAACUAUUGGAAACGAUAGCUAAUACCGGAUAACAGUAUUUCUCGCAUGAGAGAUAUUUAAAAGUUGGUUAUGCUAACACUAUGAGAUGGCUUUGCGGUGCAUUAGCUAGUUGGUGGGGUAAAGGCCCACCAAGGCGACGAUGCAUAGCCGACCUGAGAGGGUGAUCGGCCACACUGGGACUGAGACACGGCCCAGACUCCUACGGGAGGCAGUAGUAGGGAAUCUUCCGCAAUGGGCGAAAGCCUGACGGAGCAACGCCGCGUGAGUGAAGAAGGAUUUCGGUUCGUAAAGCUCUGUUGUUAGGGAAGAAUGGAUAUGUAGUAACUAUACAUGUAAGAGACGGUACCUAACCAGAAAGCCACGGCUAACUACGUG
rnacentral:rRNA from 1 species